rnacentral:rRNA from 1 species
CCUACGGGUGGCAGCAGUGAGGAAUAUUGCACAAUGGGGGAGACCCUGAUGCAGCGACGCCGCGUGAGUGAAGAAGUUUUUCGGUAUGUUAAGCUCUAUCUGCAGGGAAGAGAAUGACGGUACCUGAGUAAGAAGCCCCGGCUAACUACGUGCCAGCAGCCGCGGUAAUACGUAGGGGGCAAGCGUUAUCCGGAUUUACUGGGUGUAAAGGGAGCGUAGACGGCGAAGAAAGUCUGAAGUGAAAGCCCGGGGCUCAACCGCGGAACUGCGUUGGAAACUUUUUUGCUGGAGUACCGGAGAGGUAAGCGGAAUUCCUAGUGUAGCGGUGAAAUGCGUAGAUAUUAGGAGGAACACCAGUGGCGAAGGCAGCUUACUGGACGGUAACUGACGUUGAGGCUCGAAAGCGUGGGGAGCAAACAGGAUUAGAUACCCUGGUAGUC